AUUGAACGCUGGCGGCAGGCCUAACACAUGCAAGUCGAGCGAGUGGCGGACGGGUGAGUAAUGUAUGGGGAUCUGCCUGGUGGAGGGGGAUAACUACUGGAAACGGUGGCUAAUACCGCAUACUAUCGGAUGUGCCCAUAUGGGAUUAGCUAGUUGGUGGGGUAAAGGCUCACCAAGGCGACGAUCUCUAGCUGGUCUGAGAGGAUGACCAGCCACACUGGAACUGAGACACGGCCCAGACUCCUACGGGAGGCAGCAGUGGGGAAUAUUGCACAAUGGGCGCAAGCCUGAUGCAGCCAUGCCGCGUGUAUGAAGAAGGCCUUAGGGUUGUAAAGUACUUUCAGCGGGGAGGCGUUACCCGCAGAAGAAGCACCGGCUAACUCCGUGCCAGCAGCCGCGGUAAUUC
rnacentral:rRNA from 1 species